GAAAUUUCAGUUAACAUCCCUUACACGAAAAACCAGAAACGUACUUAAAAUAUAAAAGAUUAAACUAACUAAGAGAGAAACUCGAAAAUAAAACUAUGAGUAUGACUACAGAGUCUCUAGGUAUCCCCUUCGUCGUCCUCCUGCGGAACGGGCUCGGGAACCAUGUCUUCCUGAUCUGAAAUGGUUAAAUAAGGAGUGAGCUACACUAGCCCAGUAAGAACAUCACGAUAUCUCACCGUCACGGAGGUAAAGGUGGGUAGAAAAACACAAAAGACCAAUGGAGCAUGAUUUGCAAUAAACUCGUUUAUUAACAUGAAAACCUUUACCAUCCACUUACAUCGGUAGAAUUCAUGAAACAAUAUAAGAAAACAAUAACAUUAUCACAAACAUGGAAUAAUAUAAGCUGUAAAACAUAGCACUUAUCACGCCUUUUGUAAUUCAAUCAUUAUACAACAUAUUCUUUUCUCAUUUACCAGCCUACUAGUAUCCAUGGGGGUCCAUAGGGGUCCCGCUACCCGUUAACCUUUAACAUUCAUAAUCAGUUUCCAGGGCCGUCCCCAUACCCCGUCCGGUAUGGGCGCCAAAACCAUAAACCUCAAUACCCCGUCCGGUAUGAGGGUGAAACGGGCCGUCCCCAUACCCCGUCCGGUAUGGGCGCCAAAACCAUAAGAUCUCCAUACCCCGUCCGGCAUGUGAGACCACAAUCCCGGUAGGGUUCCCUACGGACCCGGUCCGUCCACCAUCUCCCAG
rnacentral:lncRNA from 1 species